rnacentral:rRNA from 1 species
AGAACGAACGCUGGCGGCAUGCCUAAUACAUGCAAGUCGAACGAAGGCUUCGGCCUUAGUGGCGCACGGGUGCGUAACGCGUGGGAAUCUGCCCCUUGGUUCGGAAUAACAGUUGGAAACGACUGCUAAUACCGGAUGAUGACGAAAGUCCAAAGAUUUAUCGCCAAGGGAUGAGCCCGCGUAGGAUUAGCUAGUUGGUGAGGUAAAGGCUCACCAAGGCGACGAUCCUUAGCUGGUCUGAGAGGAUGAUCAGCCACACUGGGACUGAGACACGGCCCAGACUCCUACGGGAGGCAGCAGUAGGGAAUAUUGGACAAUGGGCGAAAGCCUGAUCCAGCAAUGCCGCGUGAGUGAUGAAGGCCUUAGGGUUGUAAAGCUCUUUUACCCGAGAUGAUAAUGACAGUAUCGGGAGAAUAAGCCCCGGCUAACUCCGCGCCAGCAGCCGC